UGGCCAGGCCCAAAAUAGAGCCAGUCCAAACAAACACUCCUACCAAAUCACUAAAUAUGGAAAAAAGGAAACUAAAAUUUGACAAAAGGGAAAGAUGUAGGUGAAAUCGGAACUUCAGCCAUCGUCUUCUUCGUCUGAGCUCUUGCAGCAGAGGAAAAGCUUGACUCUUUCACCAUUGGAUUACAACCAUUGUUGUGUAGAGGUAAGAUUUGGAUACAAUUUGAGUUUUGGGGUAUUUCAAAUCGAGCAUUGUAGAUCCCACCAACGCCACAAAAUCGUUCUCACCGGAGACUUCGCCAACUCAACUAUUUCCAGCUUGAGCUCAACAAGGAACUAAUACCACUGCCUAAGGAUUUAGAAAGAGCGCUAUAUUGAACGAAACCAGGGGGAGAUAAUUUGUAUGUACCUUUUCUGCUAUUAGGUCUGAGUAUGCUGCAAUUUUGGGCCAACAGCAACUAGCAGCUGCUGAUUGGGAACCUUCUAUGUAUCCUUCAAUAGAACCUGAUCUGAAUAUUUAGAUGGAUACCAUCCAAUAUUGGGUCUACUAUGUGCAUCGGGAUAUGGUAAGUGGCAUGUUCCAAAACAUUUUGUGUAUCUAGAGCCUCAUUCUCUCCAUGUGUCGUGUCAAUCAAAGUUAUUUAUGUUGUGUACCCUUUGUCCAUGACUUCAUUCCUGGCAUCCAUUAUUUCAUCAUAGUGUUCUGGUUUACUAUCUCUCAGCACUAUAUGACAUGCAUUACUCUGAACAUUCUAUUUUACUAUUUCCCUUCUUGAUACGUUGUUGUGAUCGCUUCCUUUUCCUUGUGCCGAGGUAGCUAGUGUUGUGUUGUCCCCUGCUAUCCAUUUUCCUCCUUGUUCCUUAUUAUGUAUUAAUCCUUCUUCCAUAAUGGCUGCUUCAUCAUGCUCAUGUUGAUUAAACACAUUAAAAGAAUUGUUGGUACUGAUGUUCUCAUGUCUUUCUACAGCCUUUUCUCCCAUUAUUUGUCCCGCCUUCUUUGUAAACACCCUUGUGGUGGGCUUCCAUUUACUGAUCACUGCUCCUUUAUAAAACUACAUUUUGUAAAGUUGUUGUGGUAUGAUUGCUUCCUUCUCGUGUUGUUUCUCCUGUUGUAAUUCUGGAUGCAAUAUCAUGCACUCCUCCUCUUUGUGACCCUGAAUUCUACAUUUCUUGCAAUAUGAUGGGAGUGAGUCAUAAAGUAUUUUAACUUUAAUGAUUUUAAUAUCCUGAUUAUUGUUAUUUUCUAUCUGCAUUUGAACAUAUUGAGGAUUGUCCACUAGCAAAUCCAGUUGAACCUUCACCCUUGCACAACUUGUCCGAGUCUUGUUGAUUGUUGCAAGAUUUAGGUGCAAUGGUUCCCCUACUAUUGCCUCUAACGAGAACAAUACCUCCUUCACAAAGAAAGUAGGAAGGAUAUCUUGGAAAGAGAUCUAGGUUGUGGCUUGCGAGGUAUUUGAAGUUUUAGUGGAAGCAUGGACACUUAGGCGC